AACGAACGCUGGCGGCAUGCCUAACACAUGCAAGUCGAACGAGACCUUCGGGUCUAGUGGCGCACGGGUGCGUAACGCGUGGGAACCUGCCUUUAGGUUCGGAAUAACUCCCCGAAAGGGGUGCUAAUACCGGAUAAUGUCUUCGGACCAAAGAUUUAUCGCCUUUGGAUGGGCCCGCGUUGGAUUAGCUAGUUGGUAGGGUAAAAGCCUACCAAGGCGACGAUCCAUAGCUGGUCUGAGAGGAUGAUCAGCCACACUGGGACUGAGACGCGGCCCAGACUCCUACGGGAGGCAGCAGUGGGGAAUAUUGGACAAUGGGCGAAAGCCUGAUCCAGCAAUGCCGCGUGAGUGAUGAAGGCCUUAGGGUUGUAAAGCUCUUUUACCCGGGAUGAUAAUGACAGUACCGGGAGAAUAAGCUCCGGCUAACUCCGUG
rnacentral:rRNA from 1 species